rnacentral:lncRNA from 1 species
UAUUAUUCAUUAAGUGGAAGCAGAACAUCAUUAAUGGUCUUCAUCCUUAUUGUCUUCACAUUGAGUAGGCUGAGGAGGAAGAGGAAGAGGAGGGGUUGGUCUUGCUGUCUCAGGAGUGGCAGAAGCAGAAGAAAAUCCAAGUGCUUCUCCUCUGUCAAGACCAGGAGUUGAACUAUGUCCUUUGGGUUAAAUCUGUCCCCAUCUCAUCUAUUUUUGAAUGGCUAAUGAGAUAAAAAAAAAAGAUAGUUUUUAUGUAUUUUGUUUGGAAAACAAAUAAAAAAUAUUUUAUGACAUGAAAACGAUAUGAAAUUUAAAUUGCAGUGCAUAUAAAGUGUUACUGGAACGGAGCCAUGCCCAUUUGUUUCCAUAUUGUCCCCUGUAGACUGAAUGUCUGUGUCCUCCCAGAAUUCUUAUCUUCAAGUCUAAUCCCCAAUGUGAUGGUAUUUGGAGGUAGGGCCUUUGGGAGGUGAUUAGGUGAUAUUGUUUUGCUGUGUCUCCAUCCAAAUCUUAUCUUGAAUUCCCAUGUGUUGUGGGAGGGACCUGGUGGGAGGUAAUUGAAUCAUGGGGGCAGGUCUUUCCUGUGCUGUUCUCGUGAUAGUGAGUAAGUCUCAUGCGAUACGAUGGUUUUAAAAAUGGGAGUUUCCCUGCACAAGCUCUCCCUCUUUACCUGCUGCUGCCCAUGUAAGAUGUAACUUGCUUCUCCUUGCCUUCUGCCAUGAUUGUGAGGCUUCCCCAGCUACGUGAAACUGUAAGUCCAUUAAACCUCUUUCUUUUGUAAAUUGCCCAGUCUCAGGUAUGUCUUUAUCAGCAGCAUGAAAAUGGACUAAUACAUUAGGUCUUGAGGCUGGAGCCCUCAUGCAGGGGAUUAGUACCCUUAUAAAAAUAGAUCCCAGAGGGGUCCCUUUUCCCUUCUGCCAUGUGAGGACACAGAGAGAAGACACCACCUACAAACCAGGAAGUAGGCUCUCGCCAGAUGCGUAAUCCACUGGAGUCUUGACCUUAGACUUCUCAGCUUCCAGAACUGUGAGAAAUAAAUGUCUGUUGUAUAUAAGCCACUCAGGCUACAGUAUUGUUUAAUAGCAGCCCAAACAGACUAAGACAUCGUCUAUGGUUGCUUUUGCAAAAACAGCAGACUUGAGUAGUUGCCACAGAGACCAUAUGACCUACAAAGCCUAAAAAUCUUUACUAUCUGGCACUUUUAAGAGAACAUUUGCCCCCUUUGGUCUAGAGGAAGAUGGACACUCAAACAAAUGAUUAUUGCACUGUGGUAAGUGGUGUACUGGCCUUACAGACAAAAGACAUCAAGGAGCACAGAGCAGGAGUCUGCAAACUUUGUGGAGCUCUCCUUGAGGUUAAGUUCUGCUCAGCAGGGUGAUUUCUUAAUUAGAGCUGCCCAGCCAAGCAGACCUCCAGCUCAAACCCCGGUGCUGCCUUCUAAGGUUUCAUGAGGGACCUUGUCCUGCCUUAUUUCCUGAGUUCUAAUAUUUGAAUAGUAUGCAGUGGAUUUCAAUGGGAGGAAAAGACAUGUAAUUUAAUCAUCGUUAUUAGAUUUUGCCUGUGGAUGGGGAAAGGAGGGGGAAGCAGGAGGGACAUGGGUCCUUUCUUUGCUAAUUUUCUUUUUCUUUUUCUCUACCUUUCUUCCAGUGGUCAAAGGAAGAGGAGGAUCAAUGGCCUUUUUCGAAAGAGAACUGUGUUCAUUGCAGGACUUUUUGAGGUCUGGUUAAGCCAUUUAUAUAAAGAAGUUACACAGUUCCUCUUUGGUAACCUCAAUCCUGAGAGUUAGUGUGACAGGCCUACAGCUUUUUGUUCUCUUCAUCACUCCAGAAGUUGCAGACUGCGCUCAGCAAGACCUCACAACAUGGAGGAAAAUUAAAGAGAUAAGUGGUCCAUGCAGUAUCCCCUUACCCCACCAUAAAUUGACAUCAUUUUGUGCACAAUCCAGGGAGAAGAAAAAGAAGACCAGAAGCUCGCAAACCAUUCGAGAGAAGGAAGGGAGCUUUGUCAUGUUGCCAUCUGAGUGCCUCAGCCUCUGAUAUAAUUGGGUUGAUUGCGAGGAGCAGCGGAAGGAAGGAUGUAUCAAACCGAAAGAAGAAAGAACCCCUGCCAGUCGCCCCCAUGACAUCCGACUCUGAACGGCAGCGAUCUAGAGGCUGCGGCGUGUUGCAGAUUAACAGCAGCGAGGGCAGGAGGCAAAUCAGAUGCCGCAGGAGCUGACUGUUUUCUUUAGCCCUGAGAGCUGACUGUAGGCACAGGUUGCAUAUCAAAGGCAACGGGAAUCAGUCUGUGGCAAUAUUACAUCAGGGACAGCCACUAACCCCAGUAGCUGCAUGCUUUCUGCCACCUUCAUCUACCUCAGCAAAACUUCAAGGACAUGUAUUUAUGCUGAAUCUCCAGAGAGAGCAAGAGAAGCCCAGCCUGAGGGAAAUGACUGGACCUUGAUUACUUAGGAUAAAAAGAGAUCAAUUUAUGGUAGGACUAUCUAUCUAUUUAUGUCUGCACAUUCAUCAGGUUUGCCUAGGAAAGGAGUCUGAGAAAAUGUGUUGGAAUUGGGCACUUCUGAUGUCUAUCCUAUUCCUUGUCUUGGUUGAUAACACUUUCUCCAGUCCCCAGAUCUCAUUUUAGGAAAUGAGACUUGUUAUCAGGCAUCCUAGAGCCUCCAUAUUUUUCUGAGUCUUUCUGUGUCUGCCGGCACCAUUGACGUUGUUACUAUUGCUGGUUUUCCUCUUAUAUUUUCUGUGAAAAUGCUUGACCAUUUCAGUAGAGCCUUUUAAGACACAUGUUUUGGAAUACAGUCAAAUGCGUGCUGCUGUAUGACCAGCCUAUCUGGU